rnacentral:rRNA from 1 species
GAGUUUGAUCGUGGCUCAGAACGAACGCUGGCGGCGUGGAUAAGACAUGCAAGUCGAACGGGAGAAUUGCUAGCUUGCUAAUAAUUCUCUAGCGGCGCACGGGUGAGUAACACGUGAGUAACCUGCCCCCGAGAGCGGGAUAGCCCUGGGAAACUGGGAUUAAUACCGCAUAGUAUCGAAAGAUUAAAGCAGCAAUGCGCUUGGGGGAUGGGCUCGCGGCCUAUUAGUUAGUUGGUGAGGUAAACGGCUCACCAAGGCGAUGACGGGUAGCCGGUCUGAGAGGAUGUCCGGCCACACUGGAACUGAGACACGGUCCAGACACCUACGGGUGGCAGCAGUCGAGAAUCAUUCACAAUGGGGGAAACCCUGAUGGUGCGACGCCGCGUGGGGAAUGAAGGUCUUCGGAUUGUAAACCCCUGUCAUGUGGGAGCAAAUUAAAAAGAUAGUACCACAAGAGGAAGAGACGGCUAACUCUGUGCCAGCAGCA